rnacentral:lncRNA from 1 species
AAACAAAAAACAAGCACUACAUGAUUUUAUGCAAUUACCCUCUGAUUUUCUGCAAUUACCAAGAUUAACUGAUACAGGUCCUAUCAAAACUACAUGAUUCUUAACUAGGUUUGGUUCUUUCUCUACUUUGAUUUUUAAAACCACCCUGUCAAUUUCAGAUUUAGGCUUUCGACUCCAUGCCUUACUACCAUUAACUGUAGCUGCUGCCUUUUGAUCAUGAUGGGUUCCAUAUUGUUUAUUGACAUCAUUUUUUGAAAUUGGAGUGGGCAGGUUUUUAUGCAAACCAUUGGCCACAUAAAAAAGGGAAAUGAAGGUGAAUAGAAACCCAGAAAAUCAUCAUAGAAAAACCCAGAAAAAAACCUUUCCUCCUUCUUCCUCCUCCAUUACCAAGAACAAAAAUCCACAAUAUCCAAACCCAAAACCACAACCAGAAGAAGAGAAAAACACAGAACAAUGAAAAAAAAAACUCAAUCUUUAACCCCAUUACCCAUCUGAAACCACAACUCCAACCCAACCCGCAUAGUUUCGCUGCUUGGGGAAGAAGAGAUAGGGAAUUCGCGAUUACUUCAAUGAUGGCUUGGUGGAGGUAGGUCGCGGUGGCUAUUAACAGUGCGGAAGCAGAUCUACAACGUGAAACCCAGAUCUAUACCGUGAAGGAGAGGGAAACAACCAAACAAGAACCAAACCCAUCUCCGACCCAGAACCACCGCCCAUCGCCGCGAGUCGCCGCUCCAUGAACCCAGAAUUGCGAGCUCGCCGCUCUCUUCCUCUCGAUCCCAUACACUCUGUUCUACCAUCUCUUUUUCUGCCCUAUCCCUUUGUCUGCUUGACUGGUGGUGGUGCGGUGGAGAGAGG